rnacentral:rRNA from 1 species
GGAUUAGGCAUGCAAGUCGUACGUGAUCCUCGCUUCGGUGAGGUGAAAGUGGCGAACGGGUGAGUAAUGCAUAGCUAACCUACCCUUGGUACGGGGAUAACCAGGAGAAAUCUUGGCUAAUACCCGAUAGGCUCGCGGGGUUGCAUGGCCCUGCGAUUAAAGAAGGCCUCUUAGCAAUGCUUUCGACCGAGGACGGGACUAUGUCCUAUCAGCUAGUUGGUAGGGUAAUGGCCUACCAAGGCAAUGACGGGUAGCCGACCUGAGAGGGUGACCGGCCACACUGGGACUGAGACACUGCCCAGACUCCUACGGGAGGCUGCAGUCGAGAAUCUUCCGCAAUGGGGGAAACCCUGACGGAGCGACGCCGCGUGCGGGAUGAAGGCCUUCGGGUUGUAAACCGCUGUCACGCAUUAAGAAGGGUCCGGCGUUAACAGCGCUGGGCUUUGACGAAGGUGCGGGAGGAAGCCACGGCUAACUCUGUGCCAGCAGCCGCGGUAAGACAGAGGUGGCGACCGUUGUUCGGAAUCACUGGGCAUAAAGCGCGCGUAGGCGGCAUGUUAAGUCGGGUGUGAAAUCCCUCGGCCCAACCGAGGAAUUGCGCUCGAAACUACCGUGCUUGAGGACAGGAGGGGAGCCUGGAAUUCCUGGUGGAGCGGUGAAAUGCGUUGAUAUCAGGAGGAACACCGGCGGCGAAAGGCGAGGCUAUGGUCUGUUUCUGACGCUGAGGCGCGAAAGCUAGGGGAGCAAACGGGAUUAGAUACCCCGGU